rnacentral:rRNA from 1 species
AUGGCAAUUGAACCUCUCCGUGAUAAUCUGGACACCCUCGCAGCAACCAACCAACCAUAUGGUGAUUCCUCUUCCCAGCAGCAACUCACCGUGUACAACUACGACCUGAGUUGUCCACACUCAACAGUUCUCUCCCCAGCCAACCAAGUAAGUGUCAACAGCAGCCAUGGACAAAACAAAUUUCAGAUUGCUGCAGGGAGUAGCCCUGAGCACCACCGGAUCAGAUCAAACGAUGCUCUUCACUACAUAAGCCAGAUGCUGAUGGAAGACGUUGACGAGGUCGACAUAUGCCAAGGGGCUGCUCUUCAGGCUGCUGAGAAGCCAUUCCGUGACAUUCUUGGUGAGGUAUGCACACCGCCUACUAACUGGCCGCCAUUGAAUAGCAACAACAAACCAGACAACCCUGAUAAGAGUGGGACCAGUCGUUACAAGAGGGUCUGGAGCACUAGCUUCAGUAAUGACUAUUCCAGUUACAACAUGUUGCAACCUUUAGCAACCCCGUUGAGUCCAUAUAUAUGCAAUAGGAGUCCUUUUUUACCAAACCAGCCGUUGAUAAGUGUUGGAUGGACUUCCGGAUCUGGCUUCCUUGCCUUGCAUGGUCAGAGAGGUGUCAGGCAGGAAAGAAUGUUUGCUCCAAGUAUUGAUAAGCUGGUGAUAUAUUCAAAGAAUAACAUACUUUAUAUUUCCCAACUGACUACGAAGGCAAAAGUAGGAGAGAGGACCGAAAACACAAUCUUUGAGGUGGCAGACCCAAGGGGUUGGGAUAUCUUUCAAAGAAGGAGCAAUGAACAUCAUGCCAUCACCACUUGUGCAAUAAUUCGAAAUGAAAAUUUUGACCAAGUUCUGCUAUGCUAUGAUCGUUCUGACCGAAUAACAAGACUGCGAGAAAGGAUGGCGGGGGAAGGAAACAAGACCUCUCUGAAAGGCCGGAGCAGAAGUAGGAAGCAACCGAGGAAAGAGUUGGUUGAUCUCAGGACUCUCCUAAUCCACUGCGCACAAGCUGUGGCAGAACACAGCUACCUGUUGGCCAGUGAACUGCUAUUGAAGAUAAGGCAACACUCUUCAGCAGAUGGUGAUUGUACUCAGAGACUGGCAUUUUACUUGGCGGAUGGCCUCAAGGCACGCUUGGCUGGGACCGGGAGUCAGGUUUACCGCAACCUCGUGGAAAGGCAAACAAGUACCGCAGAUUGGUUAGAGGCUUAUAGCCUUUUUCUUGCAGCUUUCCCUUUCGGAAGGGCGUCAUACUAUUUUGCCAACCAAGCUAUUCUUGAUGUCUCACAAGGGAAACCAAGGGUACACAUCGUUGAUUUCGGCAUCGGCUUUGGCUUUCAGUGGCCAUUAAUGAUUCAGAUUUUUGCACAGCGAGAGGAGGGAGCCCCUAAGCUUCGGAUCACAGGUAUAGACGUUCCCCUGUCAGGUUUCCACCCCUGCAAAAUGAUCGAGGAGACAGGGAAGCGGUUGGCUGAUUACGCAAAUAGGUUCAAGGUACCUUUCCAGUAUCAGGGCAUUGCCGCUUCAAGAUGGGAGACAAUCAAAAUUGAUGAUCUUAACAUUGACGAGGUUGAAGUUCUCAUAGUGAACUGCAUGUUCCGGAUGAAGAAUCUCGGUCAUGAAACCGAUGCCGUAAAUGGUGCAAGGGAUAAGGUGCUCAAAACUAUGAGGAGGAUGGACCCGAAGAUUUUUAUUUCUGGCACGGUGAAUGGUUUACUCAGUUCUCCCUUCUUCAUACAACGUUUCAAAGAGGUUAUGCUCCAUUACUCUUCAGUGUUUGACAUGCUUGAUGCAAAUGUUCCACGGGAUAAUGAAGCAAGAAAGAUGAUUGAGAGGAUCCUGUUUGGGCAGGAUGCUCUUAACAUCAUAGCAUGUGAGGGUGCACAAAGAACUGAGAGGCCAGAAAUAUACAGGCAGUGGCAAGCAAGGUGCCUCAAGGCUGGGUUCCAGCAGCUUCCUGUCGAUCCAGCCAUCUUAAAGAACAUAGUACACAGGAAGAACUUACUGUUUCAUCAGGAAUUCUUUGCUGUAGAAGAUUGCGGCUGGCUGCUUCAAGGAUGGAAAGGGAGGGUACUUUAUGCUGUAUCUAAAUGGAAACCUAAUGAUGAUCAAUAA